GACGAAGGGGGCUAGCGUUGUUCGGAAUUACUGGGCGUAAAGCGUGUGUAGGUGGUUGUCAUAGUCAGGUGUGAAAGCCUUGAGCUCAACUCAAGAAAUGCACUUGAUACUGGGCAGCUAGAGGACCGGAGAGGAUAGUGGAAUUCCCAGUGUAGUGGUGAAAUACGUAGAGAUUGGGAAGAACACCAGUGGCGAAGGCGGCUAUCUGGACGGUUUCUGACACUAAGGCACGAAAGCGUGGGGAGCAAACAGG
rnacentral:rRNA from 1 species